AUUGAACGCUGGCGGAAUGCUUUACACAUGCAAGUCGAACGGCAGCACGGACUUCGGUCUGGUGGCGAGUGGCGAACGGGUGAGUAACAUAUCGGAACGUAUCUAAUACUGGGGGAUAACGAGUCGAAAGAUUCGCUAAUACCGCAUACGCCCUACGGGGGAAAGCAGGGGACCUUCGGGCCUGGCGUUAAUGGAGCGGCCGAUAUCUGACAAGCUAGUUGGUGAGGUAGAGGCUCACCAAGGCGACGAUCAGUAGGUGGUCUGAGAGGAGGACCAGCCACACCGGAACUGAGACACGGUCCAGACUCCUACGGGAGGCAGCAGUGGGGAAUUUUGGACAAUGGGCGCAAGCCUGAUACAGCCAUUCCGCGUGAGUGAAGAAGGCCUUCGGGUUGUAAAGCUCUUUCGCAAGGGAAGAAAACUUAGCCACUAACAUUGGUUGAGGUUGACGGUACCUUGAUAAGAAGCACCGGCCAACUACGUGCCAGCAGCCGCCGCCG
rnacentral:rRNA from 1 species